rnacentral:rRNA from 1 species
UACGGGGGGGGCAAGCGUUGUUCGGAAUUACUGGGCGUAAAGGGCUCGUAGGCGGCCAACAAGUCAGACGUGAAAUCCCUCGGCUUAACCGGGGAACUGCGUCUGAUACUGGAUGGCUUGAGUUUGGGAGAGGGAUGCGGAAUUCCAGGUGUAGCGGUGAAAUGCGUAGAUAUCUGGAGGAACACCGGUGGCGAAGGCGGCAUCCUGGACCAACACUGACGCUGAGUGAGCGAAAGCCAGGGGAGCAAACGGG